AGGCUAUUUACAAAGGCAUUUAAAGUCUCUAUGCUGGCACAUUGGGUUUAAAGAUGGUACUACAGAUAGGGCCUGGAGCAAGUGCAAUGUGCUGUCCAUAGGGACUACCAGACUCAAGCUGCUGGCAGUGAUGGUGUUUGCUGGAGAAUCCUGAUGCUGCACAUGAGUGACAGACAAUGUCCUGCUAAUGGAAUUGGUAUGGAUAAGUCCAUGCUGCAGCACGUCCAUCACAGCAGAGGAUGCUGCUCUGCUCUCCUACUUGGGAGUUUUUGGAGUGUCAGAACUUCUCUCCAAAGGAGGAAGAAGGCUUUGAACUUCAGAAGUGUUCCUAGACAGAACAGAAGCCCACUGGUGGAAGGUCGUCUUGCUGCUGCAGAUAGAGAUCUAAGCCUGUGGAGGACAGCUCGGACAGUCAUCACUAACUCAAAGGCAGGACGCUGAUCAGAGGCUUUUGUUGACUCUGACCUUGUGGAAGACGGUGUUACAAGCACUCAGGCAGUUGCCGAGGCCCAUCCUGUUAAUGUGAACCAAAGGCAAGCUGCAGAGGAGCGGGAGAUCCCAUUCCCAAACCUUCUCCAGCUGUGCAUUGGGAUUUUCACCCACUCUGCCAGGCGAACCCAGCCUAGAAACAGAGCGAGGAGGCUUGGGGGAGA
ensembl:lncRNA